rnacentral:pre_miRNA from 1 species
AUAAAAAAAAACCUUGAAUUUACGUUUCUGUCCGUCUUAUAUGAAUUUUUUUUAUAAUUAGUAUUUUCAUUGUUGUUAGAUGAUAAAACAUAAUUAUUAUUUUAUGCGUGAUUUGUCUUUUUAUUUUUUUUCAUAUUUUUUUCAAAUAAGACGGACGGUCAAACGUUAGAUAUAGAAACCCAGGGUUUGUCUUUUU